GGAUCACUGGGGAGACGCGGGAUGCGGUCCCUCGCCGGUGGCCCCUGCCAGCCCCCGGGUCCCCUUCUCCUCCAUCAGCCGGCAGUGGCUCCGGGGGCGCCGCGGUGAUACCACAUGAGGCAACAUGACAAGUUUGAGAAAGGACUUAAAGCAAUAAGAAGAAAGCUGAAAGAAACAACGGUAUGACAAUUUGGCAACCACUUCUCAAUGGCCUUCAACUAUCUUUUACGCAUCCUUUCUAAAUGGUGACCCAAUCACUUUAAAAACACAAUCUCCUUUAUUAAAUGUUUCUAAGGGAGAAGGUAUUUGUGCGUAGAUACUUAUAUGGUAGUAUUUUUGUACUGUCUAAAUUAGGAAUCUUUGCACUGGGAAUAAAAUUGCCCAUAAAGGUAUCUUUAAAACUCCACCAGGAAUUAGGAGAUGGUGUGAAUCCAGUUGUGUAAUUUGGGAAGACAGCUGCAUUUUAUCCAGCUAAAUCAGCACUUGAUACUAAACAAUUCCUAAAGAAUGUCACUUUAUUUUAGCAUCAGCCAUGCAGUGCAGAUUCAAGAAAUGAUAGCCUUGUUUUCCCCACCGCGUUACUAUUGUGCUUUCAGAAGAUGAAGGCAUAGAUUUCAAAAUUGAGUUCUCCUCACAUUGAAGAUUCAUUUAGCACAUCUGUGGUUCCAGGCCUCCAGCUGAUUUAGUCGCUCAUGAUUCAAAUAAUGUUAAACAAUUUGCAUUUUUAAAUGUCCAGGUCUCUAAUAUACACAUUCUUAAGGACAAAAAUGACUUUCUAGGGAAUGCUGUAGAUUUGUGAAAAAAUCAUUUAUGGUAUUGACACUGCAAAUGGAAACACCUUUAUCACCUGAAUAAAAUAAUGCCUCAGAAAAUGAAAAUAAGUAUGUAUAAACAAAUACUUUCAAAAUGGAAGGGGCUUAGAAAUCCUUUGAUUCACUACACAAAUCUUCUUAAUCCAUCAAAAACUUUGUUAAUUUUAUAGGGGCAAUAAGAGAUAAAAUAAAUAUGCUCAUGGCUAAGACUGUGAGGUAUGUCCCAGAUUUGUGGUCUCAUUGCACAGAGUGAACACAGGGUGACUGUUACAGGAGUGUUUGACAUUUUUGCCACAACCUUCAAUUGACAAUUUUGAAAAGGAUUUCUAGUGAAAUUUUAAGAAUACUUAUGGAAAUUCGCAUUUUCACUAGGAUAACAAUUAUGCCACAUCGAAUUUCAAUUUCUUACUUUAAUUCUUAUGAAUGUUUCCACAAUUUUUUUGUUAUUGUUCUUAUUUUAGGUGUUACAUUAAAAAGGCCGCAGGGAUAUUUCACUGCUCAUACUGUCAGUUGUGUUUCUUUUACCUCUAUGGUUAAAGAAUGCUAAAAUUAUGAUUAUUAGAACAAAGUUUCUUUGAAGAGGCCCAUCCUUCCUUUCUGUGUCUUUUUUUUAUUCCUUUAUAAUAGCCCAAGGCCUCAACCUUAAGCAGUUCCCUUCUCCAGAAAAUGAUACUAAAUGAAAUAAUUUGUACAUAGGUGCUAACACUUUAAUACUGUCCAAUUCAAUCCAUUUAUUUAUUGAACAAGCAAAUAUUUACUGAAUAUAAAUUUCAGUGGGUUCUGCAUAUACUAUGACUUAGCAAUGUUUUAGUAACUUUUCAUCAUUUGCCAGACACACUUAUAUUUUUGUAAAAGAUUACUGUAUAUUUAGAAAGGGUAUAUGCUUGAUCCAAGAAAACAGCAUGGAGUCGAACCAAGAACAGCAAGUCUGGAAUUUCAUAGACCUCAGUUUGAAUCUGACAAACAUUCAUUGUGCUUUAGGAGAACUGCAAAUGCUUUAAGGCUGGAACUUAAGGGAAAUGUGUGGCAGGAAAGAAGAAAAAAUGCCAAGAAAUGAACCUGCAUAUAACAGCCAGAUCAAGAAUUAUUAUUUUUUCUUUUUGGGGAGUUUUUUGGAAAGGUAAAGAAACAUCACUGAGGGCUAUUAAGAAGUGAUGUGAUAAGUUGGGGGUCUACAAAAGUUAUCCCAGAGGCAGUAUGCAGAUGAAUCAGAGAAGAACAACUGGAAACCAGAGAGAAAUUGGGAAACUUGGAGGUUACGAGGAUCUAAACAAAGGCAGAAGAUCUGGAGUUGGAGAGAGAAAGCAAAUGUGACCAACAAAAUUCUCUUUGAGCACUCUUCCUUGGUGUCUCGACCUGUGUCAUUCAGCCAGACUGCCUGACUAAAGUUAUUUUCAUCAAUAUAAAGGUAUAGCAACAUUAAUGUUAAAACUAUUUUUUGGAGGUGUGUUAAGGAAAAUGUCAUUUUGUCCUUAUCUUUCCUAUAAAAAUUUAGUUACUAUAUCUUUAAAAAGGUCAGCCUUUUUCUCUUCCAAAGUGUCAAAAGAAAUCUCAAAAUAUGGUGUGACCUUGAACUAAUUGCUUUCCCUUUCUGUGUCUCAGUUUGCCUGUUCUAAAUAAGUCUAAUAAUUCCUAACACAGCAGCUGCUCACUUCCUAGUAGUGAGGUGAAAAUUAGUUUCUCAUGUUCAAAACCAGAAUCACCUUCAAAACUGUCCCCGAUACACACCCACACAUUCAUUUAUCUGCCAGGUUCUUUCGUUCUUCCAUGGGCAAAGUGUAUGGCAUGUGUCCCUUCCUUUACACUCUACCUGCUUUCACUCUAGUUCAGACCCUGAGCACUCUUCCCAUCCUGCCCCAAUCCAACCCACCCAUGGCUAA